UACGUAGGGGGCUAGCGUUGUCCGGAAUCAUUGGGCGUAAAGGGUGCGUAGGCGGCAUGAUAAGUUAUUGGCGGUAAAUCGAGGCUCAACCUCGUGGAAACUGAUAAUACUGUUUUGCUUGAGUACAGGAGAGGUUAACGGAACUCCAUGUGGAGCGGUAAAAUGUGUAGAUAUAUGGAAGAACACCAAUAACGGCGAAGGCAGUUAACUAUUCUGUUACUGACGCUGAGGCACGAAAGCGUGGGGAGCAAAACGG
rnacentral:rRNA from 1 species